rnacentral:lncRNA from 1 species
GAGUAGAAACGGGCGUGAAAUUGUGAGCCAAAGAAGGCCGCAAUCUCAAACUGUGCGACAUUUCGUCGAACAGUUUGCAAUCCCUCUUUCUGGGUUUCAACUCUUUGUCUCUCUCCACCGAAAUUAAUACUACAUUUUCUGGCUCUGAGAUUGAGCGCUUACGUGAAAUUGUUGCUAACGUAAACUCAAGUCGUGCAACCUUUUGUUGACUGAUUCUGAUAUCGCGGUCGAAUACCCGAACCAGAAAUCAACCGAUACCGAACCGUAUUGAUUAUGUCAUAAUCGCUUCGAUUAUUACGGUUCGGGUAUCCCAAAUAACUCAAAAAAUAAAUAAAUAAAUUAUUCCAUUUUUUCAACUUAAAUCCUAAAAAAAUUAAAACAAUUAAUCACAACAAUAAUCCGCUUUCUUCCCUGUGGGUGACUGGCGACAGAUGGAGGAGGCUGCUGGGGACGGCUUGAGUCUUGAGGAGCUGCUGCUGUGGCGGUGACGGCUGGAGGGCGGCGACCGGCGUUCGGAGCUGGGGGUGUACCAAGCGGCUGAGCAGCUUGGGGCAGCGUCUGUCACUGUGUGUUGUGCCAAUGUGCGUGACUUUUUUUUUUAGGGUGGGAUUUUAGGUUUAAUUAAUUUAGAAAUUAGAAUUAAAAAUAAUUAUAAAAUAUAUACAUAUAUAUUUAUUUAAUACUAUAUAUAUAUAUUUAUUUAUUUAAAUUCGUUUCAUCCAAUUCGAUUAUGAGGUUAAUUGUGAUAUCCGAAAAUUUUACUGAAUAAUUAAUUGGACAUGGAAAAAUAUUUUUAAUUUUUAUAUUUAUAAAUAUAAUAAAAAAUUAAUUUUAAUUGAAUAAUUUGAAUUGAAUAUUGAAAAAAUAAAAAAGAAUUCACAAUUGUAAAAUUUGAUAUUAUGUAAAACAAAAACAAAAAAAUAAGUUAUAAAAAUUAAAAUAAAAUACUAGUAAUUAAAAAGAAUUAAAAAUAUAUUUAUUCAAAAAAGAUGAGAGAGGAGAGAGAAAUUUAUAAAACCUUAAUAUUUAAAUAAAUUUAAUUUUUACAUUUUAAAUCAAAUAUUUUCAUAAAAUAUAGUAUCAUAUUAAAGCUCUUAUCGUGAUCUUUAAUUUGAUAUGCCUAUUAAAUAUUUUAUAAUUAAUCGAAUUUCACAAUUUUGGAAAGAAAUGUAACAACAAAUAAGAAGUUAAAGAAAUGAAAAUAAAAAGAAAAUAUAUAGUUUAAACAUAAACCUUCAAUUUUAUUAUAACUAUAAAAUUGCCACUCAAUUUUGAAAUUGAUUUCAAAUUGGAAACUCGGUUUUUAAUANGAAUAAUAAUGUAUUUUCGGCCACAUUUCAAUUGGUGCACUCUUUAAUAAUGUGAAAAUAACACAUAUAUUAUCAUCUAAUAUAAUACUCUCUUCAUUUCACUAAUAUGACUCCCUACUAUCGAGUACGGUAAUUAAGAAGAAGAGAUGAUUAAAGAUUAAAGUGAUAGAUCGUUGUUCGUGAGAGAGUAUUAAUUACCUUUUUUUGUAAAGGAACUUAUUAAUGGGAACAGACAAAAAAAAUAGAAGUUAUUAUUAAUGAAACGGAAGGAGUAUAUUCUAAGAUAAUAGAUAAAAAUAGAUUUCAUAUAAUUAAAUAUCAUAAUCAUGAUGGUGUAAGGCAAAUGGUAUGAUUGAUUUCCAAAAUUACAGACUAGUUCUCCAUUCACUCAAUACACGUAUACCCCUCACAUAGCUGUUUUAAAGUAAGAAAUAAUCCCCAUUGGGAAAGAUUAAGGAACAACCAAGAAGAAAAGUGAUCAAAAUAAGAUGAUGUUAAUAUAUAGCCCAGUUCAAAAGUAAAAAAAACUAAUGCAAAACAACAAAUAAAAACGACGAAAAGAAGGCUGUUGGUGAUUUGUGCCAACAUUGACUGUUGAUUUCAAACAAUCUGUGUAAGCAAUGAAAACUCCCAAGCUCAAUUUUUCACUACUUGAAGCUGGCUGGGAUGGUGUCUGCCGCGAAGUACUCUUCUUUAACCUCCUUCGCCGAGCAAAAUCUCACCUAUGAAAGUUCAGAUAUAUGUGAGAAGCAACAGGAUUUAUGCAAGAGUACAAGGAGUUACGCAGAAGCAUGGUUCAAAGAGAGAGACAUAGUCUUAGCAAACUUGACAUGUACGCGUGAAAGAUCAUGCUUCAAUAUAAGAUGCUACGACACAAAUAUUCAGAAAAAAAAAUGAACAUGGAAUAUCAAAAAGGGCAUAUGGUUUCAGCGUUCAGCACAGAAGAGAUCAAACUAUAAUCAUAAUUUAUGAACAAUAAAUAUGAAGGUGGAUACUCACAAGAGAGGCAUAUGAUUUGAGCAAGGGCUUAACUAGCUGCCAAAAUGGCUUGAAUAUGAAAGGAGCAUCUACGAAGAGGACUUGACCCAGUCGCCUUGGAUAGUAGCAGUAGAAUGCAUCAAGCUGCAAUUAGAAGAUAACGUAAAAUGACUCGCAUAGGCAAAAUAUAAUGUUUUUACUAAAUAAUGAGUCAAUAGAUGCUAUAGAAGAUAUAAGAAAUGAGAGAAAUAAAAAUUGAGCAGUGGGCUCAUAUAACAGCCUUGGUUUACCACAAAUGUAAAGAAUUUAACGUCAGCAUUUUGUGUCUGGAACCCACGGAGAUUGAUUACAACAAGCAUUUCCUGCUUUCCCUCGGGGAGUAUGCUUAGUGCUUUUUCGAUCAAGAAAACACACAGCCUCUCGUCUUCCUGAGGUUUGAACUCCUGUGUCGAUAUAUAAGAUGAAUAUCACCCAAAAGCUAGCUAGAUUUUUUAUUUUGAAGCAACGAUUAGCUACAACAUGGAUAAAGCCUGAAUCUUUUGAAAAAUAGCUGCAGGAAAUCGAGGGCAGGAUGACUCUUGAAUUGGUUUUUCUACUUUCCAAAUCCACAAUUUAAUAUCAGAGAUAGUGUCAUACCCCUGGAAAAUGCUUGGAUCCUUCCACUAUCAACACUGGUCUGCCGUGUACAUCGAGAUAGUUGUGGAGAUAAGCUUUUCCAGUUUCUGCGACACGUUUAACUGAUUCUUCCGACAAUUCGGAUACACGAAAAUCCUUACGCCAACUCUGUUUUGGGGAAAGGACAAUAAAUUAAUUUUAUUCUCUAGUUUUUAUUUUGAAUAUAAACACUGAUUCAGCAAAGGACUUUAGCUACAGCUUGAAGCCUUUCCUAAACUUUUUCAUCAUAAUAAAAUAUUUUAAUAAUAGCCAAAAACUUUAAGCACAACUAUUUCAAGGAGAGAAAGAAAGAAGAAAAACUAAGUAAUGGAAAUAUAAAAACUUUUCCCAGCCAGACCAAUUAAAGACUAUAAUUAUACUUACAAUUGCUUUAGUCAAUUUGGAAACGGUCUCUUCAACAGAAAACUUUCGAUCUUUCAGGAACCAAAGAAUCAUUUCUUCAUCAUCUCUUCCAUAUUUGCCCACUGGCAGAUUGCUGUGUUGAUUCUCAAGCUUUGUUUUGACUUCUGCCACAAGCUGCAACAUUAAAGACCUAAUCAACCACAUGAUUUCUUCAAAUUGUGCAAGACAUGAAAUGAAUAAUAAUUCCCUGCAGAACAUUCCCGUAGAGCAACUUUUGCAAAUCAUUCUAAACCACUAUCUGAAGCAUCUACAUAGAUUUUUUGGGAUGAGAAACUCCAUGUUCUAAAAGACCUAGUAUCCUUUGCCAUUCUACUGUGACGAUGAUUGCCUUAGAGGGUAUUUGGCUGAGCUUAUAAGCUCCUUAAGACAACUGCAACCUAAUGAUUGGAGGAGAAACGUCUCAAGUUGAGCUUCGUUGUCUCUCUCUAGCUUAUAAGAUCAAUUAUCCAAACACUUUGACAACUUAUAAGUUCUUGACAUAUUAAAUCUUAUAAGCUCUCUAAAAAUAAGUUUAGCCAAAUAUCCUCUUAAUCAUACUAUCAGUUCAGGUAGCUAAGACUAAAUGAGCAUGUAGACAAUAUAUCCAAUGAAGAUAAGACUAGAACGUAGAAUCAUUACACAUUAAUACUUAAAUUAAGCAUUUACAAAGUACCAAGAGGCAAGUGCAACAAACUCUUCUCAAAAAUAUGCUAUUGAUAGAAAUAAUUAGGGCUGUCGAUCGGUUCGGGUUCGGUUACCCGUACCCGAAUUUUUGGUUACCCGAACCCGAAAUUGCCAAAUUUCAAUAACCGUUCCCGAACCGUUUUAGAAGUUCGGUUACCCAAUACCCGCUUCGGUUAACCAAUUGGGUUAUUUGGGUAUCCGAAAUACCCAUUUAAAAAAUAAAAUUCAAAUAAUUUUUGCUCUAUCUACUCUAAAAGAAAUUACAAAUAUAUAAUAUAUAUAUUAAAUAAUUUACAAAUAUAUAAUAUAUAUGUAAAUUUACAAAUAAUAUAUUUACAAAUAUAUAAUAUAUUUGUAAAUAUAUUAUAAUAUAUAUGUAAAUUUACAAAUAUAAUAUAUUUGUAAAUAUAUAAUAUAUAUUAUAUAUAUAAUAUAUUUGUAAAUUUAUAAAUUUACCAAUAUAUAUUAUAAAUUUACAAAUUUAUAAUAUAUUUGUAAAUAUAUAGUAUUUGUAAAUAUAUAAUAUAUAUGUAAAUUUACAAAUAUAUUAUAAUAUAUAUAUAUAAUAAUUUACAAAUAUAUAAUAUAUUAUAUAUGAUAUAUUGAUAAUAUAUAUAUUAAAUAAUUAAUAAAAUAAUUUUCGGUUAUUCGGUUAACCCGAUCGUUUUUUCGGGUUAACCGAUAACCGAAAUUUCCAAAAAAACAAUAACCGAAACCGAUCCAUUACCCGAAAUUUUCGGUUAUUGGAUACCCAAACCCGGGAAUUUCGGUUCGGUUAAUUGGAUACCCAAAACCCGAUAACCAUUUAGACAGCCCUAGAAAUAAUAAAGGUUCAUAUUUUCCUUGAAAUCCGCAACUAACCAUUGCACAAAGCAUGAAAAAGAAGCCAAUUAAGGCUGUUACAAUUCAAAUCCAACAAAACAACCAAUUCAACCAUCAUCAAACACAAGAAAGGCGCGAAAGAGGUAUCUAAAUUUGCAAAAGAUAAGCUCAAAAGUCCCCAUGGCCUCCAGUUAGUAAACUAAAACAAUCAUUAUCCAAAUAGCCGUCAUUGAACAUUUCAUCCAAUCAAAUAGGAAGAGAAUAUUUAUAUAAUUGUAAUUUAAUCAAGUAAGAGGCAACAAAAUUGAGUACUUUACUGGCAUUUUCAGGGGCCGCGGAGCAACUGCGGAUGCUGAGCUUGAAAGCCUUCGUGGAGGGUUUGUGGUGACGAGUAGAAACGGGCGUGAAAUUGUGAGCCAAAGAAGGCCGCAAUCUCAAACUGUGCGACAUUUCGUCGAACAGUUUGCAAUCCCUCUUUCUGGGUUUCAACUCUUUGUCUCUCUCCACCGAAAUUAAUAGUACUACAUUUUCUGGCUCUGAGAUUGAGCGCUUACGUGAAAUUGUUGCUAACGUAAACUCAAGUCGUGCAACCUUUUGUUGACUGAUUCUGAUAUCGCGGUCGAAUACCCGAACCAGAAAUCAACCGAUACCGAACCGUAUUGAUUAUGUCAUAAUCGCUUCGAUUAUUACGGUUCGGGUAUCCCAAAUAACUCAAAAAAUAAAUAAAUAAAUUAUUCCAUUUUUUCAACUUAAAUCCUAAAAAAAUUAAAACAAUUAAUCACAACAAUAAUCCGCUUUCUUCCCUGUGGGUGACUGGCGACAGAUGGAGGAGGCUGCUGGGGACGGCUUGAGUCUUGAGGAGCUGCUGCUGCGGCGGUGACGGCUGGAGGGCGGCGACCGGCGUCCGGAGCGUGGGGGUGUACCAAGC